rnacentral:rRNA from 1 species
UGGGGAAUUUUGGACAAUGGGCGAAAGCCUGAUCCAGCCAUGCCGCGUGAGUGAAGAAGGCCUUCGGGUUGUAAAGCUCUUUUAGUCGGAAAGAAAGGGUCGCAAUGAAUAAUUGUGAUUUAUGACGGUACCGACAGAAAAAGCACCGGCUAACUACGUGCCAGCAGCCGCGGUAAUACGUAGGGUGCGAGCGUUAAUCGGAAUUACUGGGCGUAAAGGGUGCGCAGGCGGUCUUGCAAGUCAGAUGUGAAAGCCCCGGGCUUAACCUGGGAAUUGCGUUUGAAACUACAAGACUAGAGUGCAGCAGAGGGGAGUGGAAUUCCAUGUGUAGCAGUGAAAUGCGUAGAGAUGUGGAAGAACACCGAUGGCGAAGGCAGCUCCCUGGGUUGACACUGACGCUCAUGCACGAAAGCGUGGGGAGCAAACA